GACAGAGGCCUCAAGCGUUAGGCGGAAUCACUGGGCUUAAAGCGUGUGUAGGCGGAUCGUUAAGUGUCUUGUGAAAUCCCCACGGCUCACCCGUGGAACUGCUGGGCAUACUGGCGAUCUUGGGCCAACUAGGGGCAACUGGAACAAGCGGUGGAGCGGUGAAAUGCGUAGAUAUCGCUUGGAACGCCAAAGGUGAAAACAGGUUGCUGGGGU
rnacentral:rRNA from 1 species